UACGGAGGGUGCAAGCGUUAAUCGGAAUUACUGGGCGUAAAGCGCACGCAGGUGGUCAAUUAAGUCCGAUGUGAAAGCCCCGGGCUUAACUUGGGAAUUGCAUCUGAAACUGGUUGGCUAGAGUCUUGUAGAGGGGGGUAGAAUUCCAUGUGUAGCGGUGAAAUGCGUAGAGAUGUGGAGGAAUACCGGUGGCGAAGGCGAUUUUCUGGACAUAAACUGACGCUGAGGUACGAAAGCGCGGGGAGCGAACAGG
rnacentral:rRNA from 1 species